CGCGUAGGUGGAAUGUUAAGUUGUUUGUGAAAUCCCCGGGCUUAACCUGGGUUGGUCAGGCAAGACUGACGUUCUAGAGUACAGUAGAGGGUAGUAGAAUUUCCGGUGUAGCGGUGAAAUGCGUAGAUAUCGGAAGGAAUACCAGUGGCGAAGGCGGCUACCUGGACUGAUACUGACACUGAGGUGCGAAAGCGUGGGUAGCGAACA
rnacentral:rRNA from 1 species